rnacentral:rRNA from 1 species
GAGUUUGAUCGUGGCUCAGAUUGAACGCUGGCGGCAUGCCUUACACAUGCAAGUCGAACGGCAGCACGGGAGCUUGCUCCUGGUGGCGAGUGGCGAACGGGUGAGUAAUGCAUCGGAACGUAUCCUGGAGUGGGGGGAUAACGUAGCGAAAGUUACGCUAAUACCGCAUAUUCUGUGAGCAGGAAAGCGGGGGGACCUUCGGGCCUCGCGCUCUUGGAGCGGCCGAUGUCGGAUUAGCUAGUUGGUGAGGUAAAGGCUCACCAAGGCGACGAUCCGUAGCAGGUCUGAGAGGAUGAUCUGCCACACUGGAACUGAGACACGGUCCAGACUCCUACGGGAGGCAGCAGUGGGGAAUUUUGGACAAUGGGGGCAACCCUGAUCCAGCCAUGCCGCGUGAGUGAAGAAGGCC